AAUUAUUAUAAAAAUUUUAUCAACCCGAUAAAUUUUGAUCAAUGUUACUUUUUUAAAAAAAUUAAUUUUAAUAGAAAGCUUGUGUCAAAACUCUUCAAUUAAAAGUAUCAUAGAAAUGAAAUAUUUUCAAAAAAUUUGAUUUCUGGAUUAAGCUUAAAUGUAUUUAGUACAAAUAAAUAAGUGAAUAUAAAAGUGAUCAGAUUUUUAUAUUUAAUGAGUAUAAUCUAAAUUUAAAUUUAGUAUUAACAAAGGAUACUUAUAAUUAUUUUUUUUCAAAUUUUGAAAUUAUAUAUAAUUGAUUUAGAAAAUAUUAAAUUUCUCUUUUAAAUUAGCUUAAAUACUUUUAUCAAAUUUAUUUUAAAUAAUAUCAAUAAUGUUUAAAUUAGUCAAAAUCCAAAAAAAUUUUGGAAAGGAACUCGGCAAAAAAUCUUUUCUUUCAACUGUUUAUCAAAAACAUAGCUUGUUGAAAUAAAGUAUACAAAUUUAAUUUAUAUACAUUUAAUAUUUUAUAAUAGGUGAAACCUGCCCAAUGAGAAUUAUUUUUAAACGGCCGCAGUACUUUGACUGUGCUAAGGUAGCAAAAUAAUUUGGCUUUCAAUUGGAGUCGGGAAUGAAUGGAAUAAUGUAAGAAAACUGUCUUCUCUAAAUUUUUUUUUAAUUUACUAAAAAGGUGAAAAUACCUUUAUUUAGAUAUGAUAGACGAGAAGACCCUAAGAAUUAUUUACCAAAGUUUUUUAAAUUUACAAAUUUAUAAAAGAUUAAGUUUUUGUUGGGGCAACAAUUUUGGAAAAAUUAUUUAAUCAAAAUUAUUUUCUUUAAAUAAAGUUUAAACAAAUCAAAGUUUAUUUUAAUUGAAUUUAAUUACCUUAGGGAUAACAGCAUAAUUUAUUUAUAAGAUUGUGACCUCGAUGUUGGACUAGGAAAUUUUUCUAUUAGAAAUAGAUAAAUAAGGUUCUGUUCGAACUUAAUCUCCUA
rnacentral:rRNA from 1 species